rnacentral:rRNA from 1 species
AUUAGAUACCCUAUUAUUUUUAUUGUAAAAUUUGAAACUUGAGUAUUAGUAGUUAAGGUCUUGAAACUUAAAGAAUUUGGCGGUAUUAUAGUCUAUUUAGAGGAAUCUGUUAUGUAAUCGAUAGUCCACGUUGAACCUUACUUAUAUUAUUUCUUGUAUACCGCUGUUUAAGAAUAUACUUUUAGGUAGAUUUUCUUGAUAUAUUACUAAUUAAGAUUUCAGGUCAAGGUGCAGUUAUAUAUAAGUUGAAUAAUGGAUUACAAUAAAUUUUAUUUAUAUGGAUUGUUAUUGAAAUAUAAUUUGAAGGUGGAUUUAAUUGUAAUUUUGUAAAGAUUAUUAAAAUGAUUAAUAGCUCUAUAAUAUGUACACAUCGCCCG